rnacentral:misc_RNA from 1 species
GGCAAUCGCGUGUUGGUGGACAUCCCGUCCACGCCGGUCCCCAAAGACCGGCUUCCUUCCUUCCCGUUUUUCUGCGCAGCAGGAUGAAGCGUUUGCUUUGUCGCGCUUGCGCGAGGUUCUGGAUUCUGCGCCGGCGCACCCCGCGUUUCUGCUUGGAGCUCCGGUGGAGCCUCCAGAGGGCGGGGGCAUAGCUCAGUUGGCUAGAGCGGUGGCUUUGCAAGCCACAGGUCUGGGGUUCGAAUCCCCAUGCCUCCAUCCGCCCGGAGACGGGCGAGUGUUCUUUGACAGCGGGAUUGUCGGACGGACUGUGAUGAGCAGCGACGGCAAUCGACGAGAGAGGGAAGUGGAGUAGAUCAGGAUGCGCUCGUAGAGGGCGUGUCCUGCCACGAAGCGUGCAGACAUCGCGCACGGUGCGGGAGGAGGACCGGCCCCAGGCUGGAGCCUCGCCCGCGCGCCAAAGCAAAGACGAUCAAGAACACCGUCGCGAUCACCUCCUGCACGCCCCCGGCAAUGCAGUCCGGGGUCCUCCUGUCUACACAGCACGGGGAUGGUGGAUCCGCUGUGGGCGAGUUAGUCGCAAGCCCAUGCAGCGGGAGACGAGGUGGAAGAAAUACGGAAUGACCAUAUGGUCAAGCGAACAAGGGUCCAUGGGGGAUGCCUUGGAGCCAUCCGGCGAUGAAGGCCGUGGUUAGCUGCGAAAAGCUUCGGGGAGGAGCCAACAUCCUGAGAUCCGGAGAUUG